ensembl:rRNA 5S_rRNA 5S ribosomal RNA
GCUCACGGCCAUACUGCUCUGGAGACGCCCGAUCUCGUCUGAUCUCAGGAAGCUAAGCAGAGUCGGGCCUGGUUAGUACUUGGAUGGGAGACCGCCUGGGAAUCCCGGGAGCUGUGAGCU